rnacentral:rRNA from 1 species
CGCAUCAGCCAUGGCGCGGUGAAUACGUUCCCGGGCCUUGUACACACCGCCCGUCAAGCCAUGGGAGUCUGGAGUACCUAAAGUCCGUAACCGCAAGGGUCGGCCUAGGGUAAUACAGGUGACUGGGGCUAAGUCGUAACAAGGUAGCCGUACCGGAAGGUGCGGCUGGAACACCUCCUUUCUGGAGUUC